rnacentral:rRNA from 1 species
GACGGAGGAUGCAAGCGUUAACCGGAAUUAGUGGGCGUAAAAGGGGAGUAGGAGGUCGGGCAAGUCCCAUGUCAAAGCAUGGUGCUUAACGCCAUAAAGGCGUGGGAAACUGUCAGACUAGAGUACAGCAGGGGCAGGAGGAAGUACCGGUGUAGCGGUGAAAUGCGUAGAUAUCGGGAAGAACACCAGUGGCGCAAGCGUUCUGCUGGGCUGUAACUGACACUGAGGCUCGAAAGCUAGGGGAGCGAAAGGG